rnacentral:tRNA from 1 species
UCCCUGGUAGUCUAGAGGUUAAGACUUUGUACUCCUAAUGCAGUGGGGCCCAGAUUCAAUCCCUGGUUGGGGCA